ACAGAAUUCUUCCAACUUUUAAAUGGAACACAAGUGUCCUUUUAAGGUUCAUUAUCCUAUAGUACAUGGAAUCCAAGGAAGAAUUGAUCUCCUUAUCCCUGUGAAUCAUCCAGAUGUUAACUGCUUCUCAGCAUCAUGUCCUCCUCGAGAUCAAUUUGGGAAACUCCUCCCAUGGCAAAGACAGCUAGUUGUCUAUAAUUUGUUUCCUCCUUUUCCUUAGCCCCAGACCCUUGAUUUUUAGCUAGGUAAAUGUCUAUCUAUAAUAAAGACCCCAUUUUCCAGACUUCCUUGCUGCAGGUGUACACAUGUGACUAAAUCCUAGAUGAUGAGAUGUAAGCUGAAAUUGUGUGUGCAACUUCUAAGAAAUGUUUCUAAAAACAGCAGCCACACUUUUCUUUGUGGUUGUCUUCUUCCUAUUAGAAUACAGAUGAAAUGUCAAGGAUUCUAGCAGCCAGCUUCAACAAUAAGAUGACCUUGAGAAGGUAAACUACCUAUAGAAAGUGACAAAAAAUAGUACUUAUCUCAAAGAUACAUGUAAAUAAUAAUGAGAAAAUGCCUAAGAUGUAUUUAGAUAGUGGUUGUCAC
rnacentral:lncRNA from 10 species